CAGUCGCCACGGUAAAACAGAGGGUGCAAGCGUUAAUCGGAAUUACUGGGCGUAAAGCGCGCGUAGGUGGUUUGUUAAGUUGGAUGUGAAAUCCCCGGGCUCAACCUGGGAACUGCAUCCAAAACUGGCAGGCUAGAGUAGGGCAGAGGGUGGUGGAAUUUCCUGUGUAGCGGUGAAAUGCGUAGAUAUAGGAAGGAACACCAGUGGCGAAGGCGACCACCUGGGCUCAUACUGACACUGAGGUGCGAAAGCGUGGGGAGCAAACAGGAUUAGAUACCCCGGUAGUCCCUGUCUCUUAUAC
rnacentral:rRNA from 1 species